rnacentral:lncRNA from 1 species
AAUGGGUUCAUAGGGAACCAUACCAUGAACGUUGUCUCAUACCGGACGGGGUAUGGGGACGGCUUGCUUCACCCUCAUACUGGAUGGGGUAUUGAGGUUUAAUGUCUUGGCGCUCAUACCGGACGGGGUAUGGGGACGGCCCUAGAAUUAAGAUUGUUAAAAUAAAGGGUUCACGCGUAGCGGGGACACCCCUAUGGAUCACCAUGUAUACUAGUAGGCUAGUGAAAUGAGAAAUGGUGAUGAUUAGUUAUUGUUAAUGAAUAUGAAUUUAUGAUAUGUUCUAUGUUACUGAUUGUGCAUGAAGUUAUGAUCUGUAUGAUGUUAUUGUCUUUAUAGGUUGUUUUCAUAGGUUCUCCAAGUGUAAGAAAAAGGGA